rnacentral:rRNA from 1 species
UACGGGGGGGGCAAGCGUUGUUCGGAAUUACUGGGCGUAAAGCGUGCGUAGACGGCUAUCUAAGUCGGGUGUGAAAUCCCCGGGCUCAACCUGGGAAUUGCGUUUGAUACUGCGGCGCUGGAAUGCAGGAGAGGAUGGCGGAAUUCCCAGUGUAGAGGUGAAAUUCGUAGAUAUUGGGAAGAACACCGGUGGCGAAGGCGGCCAUCUGGCCUGUAAUUGACGCUGAGGCGCGAAAGCGUGGGGAGCAAACAGG